GCCGAUGUGGCGGAAUGGUAGACGCGGUAGACUCAAAAUCUACUUUUAGCAAUAAAGUGCUGGUUCGAGUCCAGUCGUCGGUA
rnacentral:tRNA from 1 species